rnacentral:lncRNA from 1 species
CUUCUGCUAAAGGCGUAUUGAAUGAAAGCCAGGAUUUCAUUUUCAGAAAAAAAUCUAUUUAUGGUUUAGCAAGAGCUGAAGCAGUCCUGGGAAUAGAAGAGAGAUCUGAGGGACUUCAAACCAUCCAAAACCUGAACACAAAACAAAAUGAGCAAGAAACUUUGAUUCUAUUAUCCAGUCCCAAGUAAAAAAUAGUACAAGAGGUCUCUGCAUGAGAGACAAGUAAGUUCAGUUACUUGUUAAGUUAAGUUACUUAACAAGUAAGUUCAGUUAAGGUCCACCUGCUGGAGUUAAGUAAUUUUCUGAUGAAGUAGCUAUAACAUUUUGACAGAAAAAUGUGUUUAAUUAUGAAUUACUCAAGUUCCGAAUCAGGUAAGCCCAACGUAUUAAUCCUAUUUCUACUUCCUUUAUUGUGGAAAAGAAUACUUCCACAAGGAAAAGGGAUCAGCAGAAAGACAAACAAAGACUCCAGAUACAUCUACAUUUCCUAUCACCCUCUUCUUUACCUGCUUUUUGCCUACUCCCCCUCAAGUCAAACACUCCUUACGUUGCAGAAGGUCUUCAGCAAUGAAGGUCUUCCAGGAAGGACAAAUCCUUUCCUGCCAUCUGUCACUGAGUACAAGAGUCAGUUCCUCUGCAAGGAUGCCAUCCCAGAGUUUGAUUCCUGUCAAUAACAUUAGAGAAGGUACAGCUUGCACCUAUAUGGCGCAGAGCUAGUGGAGCAAGCAGGAACAGUUUUUAACUACACUAGAAACCUGCAGCAUCAGCUGUACAAGCUGCAGAAGCCUUUGGAACAAGAGGGCAAUGUGCCUCCAGCUUCAGCCGUCCCUGACCUGCACAACAGAAUGAUUCUCUGGGGACACUUGGCUUUCGUGUCUCUGGCAGUAAGGUAAUGUUUCUUCUCAUUGCUUUCUACUCACCUUCUUCCCAUUAACACAGCAUCCUAAAACCCUCCAAAGGGUACUUGUGGCUUUAUUCAGUCAUUCUCAUUUGUCUUGAUGCUCCAGAAUGUGCAGGAUGUGGUAGGAAAGCCUGCAGAGUUGCCAGCCCAGAGGAUUCUGUGUGCAUUUAAAAUGAAAGGGAAGACAACUCACUCCCCCAAAAGCAAGGAAAUAAAGGUCUCCUUACUUCUGGACA